CCAAUAGCGUAUAUUAAAGUUGUUGCAGUUAAAAAGCUCGUAGUUGAAUUUCGGGGCCAGUAGGUUGGUCGUGCCACUGGUAUGCACUGGCCUUACUGGUCCCUCCCUCUUGUAGAACCGUGAUGCCAUUAAUUUGGUGUUGCGGGGAAACAGGACUGUUACUUUGAAAAAAUUAGAGUGCUUAAAGCAGGCUAGCGCUUGAAUACAUUAGCAUGGAAUAACGGAAUAGGACGAUCGAACCUAUUUUGUUGGUUUCUAGGAUCGACGUAAUGAUUAAUAGGGAUAGUUGGGGGCAUUAGUAUUCAAUUGUCAGAGGUGAAAUUCUUGGAUUUAUUGAAGACUAACUACUGCGAAAGCAUUUGCCAAGGAUGUUUUCAUUAAUCAAGAACGAAAGUUAGGGGAUCGAAGACGAUCAGAUACCGUCGUAGUCUUAACCAUAAACUAUGCCGACUAGGGAUCGGAUGAAGUUAAUUUUUUAAUGACUCAUUCGGCGCCUUACG
rnacentral:rRNA from 1 species